rnacentral:rRNA from 1 species
GAUGAACGCUGGCGGCGUGCCUAAUACAUGCAAGUCGAGCGAACGGACGAGAAGCUUGCUUCUCUGAUGUUAGCGGCGGACGGGUGAGUAACACGUGGAUAACCUACCUAUAAGACUGGGAUAACUUCGGGAAACCGUAGCUAAUACCGGAUAAUAUUUUGAACCGCAUGGUUCAAAAGUGAAAGACGGUCUUGCUGUCACUUAUAGAUGGAUCCGCGCUGCAUUAGCUAGUUGGUAAGGUAACGGCUUACCAAGGCAACGAUGCAUAGCCGACCUGAGAGGGUGAUCGGCCACACUGGAACUGAGACACGGUCCAGACGCCUACGGGAGGCAGCAGUAGGGAAUCGUCCGCAAUGGGCGAAAGCCUGACGGAGCAACGCCGCGUGAGUGAUGAAGGUCUUCGGAUCGUAAAACUCUGUUAUUAGGGAAGAACAUAUGUGUAAGUAACUGUGCACAUCUUGACGGUACCUAAUCAGAAAGCCACGGCUAACUACGUG